rnacentral:rRNA from 1 species
GACGAACGCUGGCGGCGUGCCUAAUACAUGCAAGUAGGACGCAGUUGCGAACGGGUGAGUAACGCGUAGGUAACUGCCUAUUAGAGGGGGAUAACUAUUGGAAACGAUAGCUAAUACCGCAUACUAGUAGAUGGACCUGCGUUGUAUUAGCUAGUAGGUCGGGUAAUGGCCUACCUAGGCGACGAUACAUAGCCGACUUUGGAGGGGGAACGGCCCAACUGGGAAUGAGACACGGCCCAGACUCCUACGGGAGGCAGCAGUAGGGAAUCUUCGGCAAUGGGGGGAAACCUGAACGAGCAACGCCGCGGGAGUGAAGAAGGGUUUCGGAUCGUAAAUCUCUGUUGUUAAGGAAGCGGUACUUAACCAGAAAGGGACGGCUAACUACGUGCCAGCAGCCGCGGUAAUUC